UACGUAGGGUGCGAGCGUUGUCCGGAAUUAUUGGGCGUAAAGAGCUCGUAGGCGGUCUGUCGCGUCGAUCGUGAAAACUUGGGGCUUAACCCUGAGCUUGCGGUCGAUACGGGCAUGACUGGAGUUCGGCAGGGGAGGCUGGAAUUCCUGGUGUAGCGGUGAAAUGCGCAGAUAUCAGGAGGAACACCGGUGGCGAAGGCGGGUCUCUGGGCCGAUACUGACGCUGAGGAGCGAAAGCGUGGGGAGCGAACAGG
rnacentral:rRNA from 1 species